rnacentral:rRNA from 1 species
AGUGAACGCUGGCGGUAGGCCUAACACAUGCAAGUCGAACGGCAGCACAGGAGAGCUUGCUCUCUGGGUGGCGAGUGGCGGACGGGUGAGGAAUACAUCGGAAUCUACUCUGUCGUGGGGGAUAACGUAGGGAAACUUACGCUAAUACCGCAUACGACCUACUGGUGAAAGCCGGGCACCUUCGCGCCUUGCGCGAAUGAAUGACCCGGUGUCGGAUUAGCUAGAUGGCGGGGUAAAGGCCCACCAAGGCGACGAGCCGGAGCUGGUCUGAGAGGAUGAGCAGCCACACUGGAACUGAGACACGGUCCAGACUCGUACGGGAGGCAGCAGUGGGGAAUAUUGGACAAUGGGCGCAAGCGUGAUCCAGCCAUACCGCGUGGGUGAAGAAGGCCUUCGGGUUGUAAAGCCCUUUUGUUGGGAAAGAAAUCCAGCUGGCUAAUACCCGGUUGGGAUGACGGUACCCAAAGAAUAAGCACCGGCUAACUUCGUGCCAGCCGCCGCCGUAA